AACUCGGCAAAAUGACCCCGUAACUUAGGGAUAAGGGGUGCCACCAUCAGGUGGCCGCAGAGAAUAGGCCCAAGCGACUGUUUACCAAAAACAUAGGUUUCUGCUAAGUCGCAAGACGAUGUAUAGGAGCUGACGCCUGCCCGGUGCUGGAAGGUUAAGGGGAUCUGUUAGAGCAAUCGAAGCAGUGAACUUAAGCCCCAGUAAACGGCGGCCGUAACUAUAACGGUCCUAAGGUAGCGAAAUUCCUUGUCGGGUAAGUUCCGACCCGCACGAAAGGCGUAACGAUUUGGGCACUGUCUCAACAACAGACUCGGUGAAAUUGUAAUUCCGGUGAAGAUGCCGGAUACCUGCGACAGGACGGAAAGACCCCAUGGAGCUUUACUGUAGCUUGACAUUGGGUCUUGGUACUACAUGUACAGGAUAGGUGGGAGGCUUUGAAACCAGGACGCCAGUUUUGGCGGAGCCAUCCUUGGGAUACCACCCUUGUAGUACUGGGACUCUAACCAUAGGCCAUGAAUCUGGUCUUGGGACACUGUCAGGUGGGCAGUUUGACUGGGGCGGUCGCCUCCCAAAAGGUAACGGAGGCGCUCAAAGGUUCUCUCAGUACGGUCGGAAAUCGUAC
rnacentral:rRNA from 1 species